rnacentral:rRNA from 1 species
GACGAACGCUGGCGGCGUGCUUAACACAUGCAAGUCGAACGGAAAGGCCCUGCUUUUGUGGGGUGCUCGAGUGGCGAACGGGUGAGUAACACGUGAGUAACCUGCCCUUGACUUUGGGAUAACUUCAGGAAACUGGGGCUAAUACCGGAUAGGAGCUCCUGCUGCAUGGUGGGGGUUGGAAAGUUUCGGCGGUUGGGGAUGGACUCGCGGCUUGUCAGCUUGUUGGUGGGGUAGUGGCUUACCAAGGCUUUGACGGGUAGCCGGCCUGAGAGGGUGGACGGCCACAUUGGGACUGAGAUACGGACCAGACUCCUACGGGAGGCAGCAGUGGGGAAUAUUGCACAAUGGGCGGACGCCUGAUGCGGCAACGCCGCGUGCGGGAUGACGGCCUUCGGGUUGUAAACCGCUGUCGCCUGUGACGAAGCGUGAGUGACGGUAAUGGGUAAAGAAGCACCGGCUAACUACGUG